rnacentral:rRNA from 1 species
UAGGGAAUCUUCGGCAAUGGACGAAAGUCUGACCGAGCAACGCCGCGUGAGCGAUGAAGGUCUUCGGAUCGUAAAGCUCUGUUGUCAGAGAAGAACACGUGAUAGAGGAAAUGCUAUCACCUUGACGGUAUCUGACCAGAAAGCCCCGGCUAACUACGUGCCAGCAGCCGCGGUAAUACGUAGGGGGCAAGCGUUGUCCGGAAUUAUUGGGCGUAAAGCGCGCGCAGGCGGCUUCUUAAGUCUGAUGUGAAAGCCCACGGCUCAACCGUGGAGGGUCAUUGGAAACUGGGAAGCUUGAGUGCAGAAGAGGAGAGUGGAAUUCCACGUGUAGCGGUGAAAUGCGUAGAUAUGUGGAGGAACACCAGUGGCGAAAGCGGCUCUCUGGUCUGUAACUGACGCUGAGGCGCGAAAGCGUGGGGAGCAAACA